CCCUUAGAUGUUCUGGGCAGCACGCGCGCUACAAUGGUCUUCGCAAACGGAUGCAUUCUCGAAGGAGAAUGCCAAUCUUGGAAUCUAUGCCUUGGUCGGGACAGUUGCUUGCAAUUUUUCGACUCGAACCAGGAAUUCCUUGUAAUCGUGAUUCAUCACAUCACGAUGAAUCCGUCCCUGCCCUUUGUACACACCGCCCGUCGCUCCUACCGAUCGAAGAGUUAGGUGAAUUGUUUUGAUCGAUAAGAUUUGACUAUGGUCAACUCUCGUUGUGAAAUUCUGUGAAUCUGACUGUUUAGAGGAAGGAAAAGUCGUAACA
rnacentral:rRNA from 1 species